GCCGGGUGUGGUGGCUCACGCCUGUAAUCCCGGCACUGGGAGGCUGAGGUGGGUGGAUCAUUUGAGCCCAGGAGUUCCGAGACUGGCCUGGGCAACAUGGCGAAACUCCAUCUUUA
rnacentral:SRP_RNA from 1 species